rnacentral:rRNA from 1 species
CCUACGGGGUGCAGCAGUGGGGAAUAUUGCACAAUGGGGGGAACCCUGAUGCAGCGACGCCGCGUGAGUGAAGAAGUAUUUCGGUAUGUAAAGCUCUAUCAGCAGGGAAGAAAAUGACGGUACCUGACUAAGAAGCCCCGGCUAACUACGUGCCAGCAGCCGCGGUAAUACGUAGGGGGCAAGCGUUAUCCAGAUUUAAUGGGUGUACAGGGAGCGCAGACGGCUGUGCAAGUCUGGAGUGAAAGGCGGGGGCCCAACCCCCGGACUGCUCUGGAAACUGUAAAGCUGGAGUGCAGGAGAGGUAAGCGGAAUUCCGAGUGUAGCGGUGAAAUGCGUAGAUAUUAGGAGGAACACCAGUGGUGAAGGCGGCUUACUGGACUGCAACUGACGUUGAGGCUCGAAAGCGUGGGGAGCGAACAGGAUUAGAUACCCCUGUAGUC